CUGUCAUUCCUGUGGGAAUAUUGAGCCCUGGAAAUGAGAUUGUCCCAAAGACAUCAAUUACUUUCAAGCAUGAAUGAGCAGCCCUAGAACAGAACAAAUGCCUGUUCAAGAAGACAACCAAGAAUUCCACCCCACCCAUCCAUCAUUCUUCUGCUCCCAGAAAGACACCCUGCAAAAAUAAUCGGAAGGAAAUCUUCCUUUCAUUGGCUGAAUGCAUCACUUGAACAAUCAAGCUUUUAUAGCAACUCUGGAGAAAUGCAUCCCACAAGCUCUGGGGAGAUAUAUGCUGUUUUUCUAUAACUACAAGAAUUAAGAAAUAGAUGAAUUAAAGCUUGGGCUUUUUUUUCUAUGUUAGAACAUAGAAAUGCUACAAUUUAUAGACACAACCUCUUUAAUAUUUAUUAAAUAAUAAUUAUUUAUUAAAUAAUAAUAAUAUUCAGGUUUAUUUCAGAAGUAUUAUUUCAUACCAUGUUUAUUUCAAAAGUGCAGUGGAAUGUUUAUUGACUAUGUUCAUUUAUCUAUUUAAUAGUGCAUAUCCAGUCUGAUUGCUGAGCAUUAGGCAAUAUCAUUUUCCCAGGAUUGUUAUUAACAGUUUAUUGUCUAUAAAUUAUGGAGCAAGAAGGCAGAUGAGAUCACAUGCAUGGGCUAAAUUGUAUGAAAUAAGAAUGAAAAGGCAAUAAAAAGAACGUUGAUUGCUA